rnacentral:rRNA from 1 species
UACGUAGGGGGCUAGCGUUGUCCGGAAUCACUGGGCGUAAAGGGCUCGUAGGCGGUCUGUUGCGUCGGGAGUGAAAACUCAGGGCUUAACCCUGAGCCUGCUUCCGAUACGGGCAGACUAGAGGUAUGCAGGGGAGAACGGAAUUCCUGGUGUAGCGGUGAAAUGCGCAGAUAUCAGGAGGAACACCGGUGGCGAAGGCGGUUCUCUGGGCAUUACCUGACGCUGAGGAGCGAAAGUGUGGGGAGCGAACAGG